rnacentral:lncRNA from 1 species
UCAAAUCUGAAAAGAUGGGAGAGUACUUUAGUAUCAGUUUUGUGAUCAUCUUAAUGAUUAAGAAACCAUAUCAAAAUUAGUUCUCUAAGGAAAUCUUAGUGCAUUCUUAUGACUAAGAAGAGGAACUUGAAUUGUUGAAAUGGUUAAAUCAAGAAGAUGAGUCAUACUUCGUUCCAAUACAAGUCUUAGAGUCAUACUCCAAGAUUGUCAUUUGAGUGACAUGUCUUAAAGAAGGUUUAAAACACUUGUCAAAUGUAAGAGUAAAAGUUUUCUACUCUUGUACAUUUGAAAUUGGUAAGUUGUGAUGUUUUGGAUAAAACAAAGACCAACUUAGGCCAAUUGGGUAAAGUGUUUUUCUUGAUUAGAAUCCGCACUAUCUCUUGGAUGUUUGACAAGGGAGUCUUAUAUGUCAAGAGGACAGUGGGAGUCUUAAAGGUCUUGAAAGUCUCAAGAAAUAAUCAAGAAUAAAACCUAAAGUUCUUCACUAGCACACGACUUGAGGUUCAUAACCUAUCGUGUUGACAUAUUCUGUGCCCAUUCCAGUUAAAGUUGGUUUUGCAUAUGAGUUCUUAGAGUUCUCAAUUUGUUGCACAACAACUUGGAAGCAAUGGCAGGCCCUUGAGCUGCCAGGUGGCAAGAAGUUAAGAUUGAGUUCAAUCCAUAUGGUUUUGGAUUUGUCAUUAUCUUUGUCUUGUGAUUAUGGUUUGACAAAUUCAUAUGGGUAGGAACUCAUACACCAUAUAAAUCUAAGUGUCAUAAGGUUUCUCUCCGAUUCAUGAAAAUGAUGGUGAGGAAACGCUUUCACUAAGUAGAUUUUACGAAGAUAUCAAUUGUGUUAUUUGCAUUUUCAAAAGUCGUUAGUGGAGCGCGUGUGGUUAACCGGCACACUAACAUGGACUUGUGAGAAAUGGCAAAUGCCUAAGCAAUUGAGACCAUGAUUACGGUAUCCCUUUUCAUGGUUCUUGAAAUUGCUUAGACACACAGGUGAGCUAUCUACGGAAAGGGUGUAUGAAUCUAAAUUUCAGACUGUCCAGCUGAUUUCUGAGUACAUGUCAAAGCUAGUGGGAGCAUAAGUGUUAUGCUAAUAAUCAUCAUGUUAGUGGGAGCAUGAUAAUUAUGAUAAGUAUUGCAAGUUAGCAAUGUUAAUUAUAGAAAACAAAAGUUUCAAUUGGGAAAAAGUUGUUUUGCUAUAAUUAAGGGAGAGGAAAUUAUGCUUCAUCUCAAAUCUAUAAGCUUAGAUCGUGAGGUUUUAAUCAUUUAGUCAAGGAUAUAUAUGAAUUUCAUGUUGGAAUGGCUCAACAUAAGGAAAUUCUGUAUAUGGGUCCAUUAUUUGCGUUCUAAAAUUCGAUUAUGAUUACGGCAUCCCUUUUCAUAAUCUGAAUUAUGAGAACUUGGCAAAUUGAAAUGGAAAUAUUAUAGCAAAAGACUGGUUUAGUCUUUAUGUAAGACAUCAUGAAUCGUGUCCCAUAUGCUUCGGAUAUAGGAUCGAUUACAUGUGCUAUAUUCAUCCGUUCUAAAAUUUUCCAAAUGCCUGGGGCAUUAAGAAGGGAAAAGGUUUAGAACUGGAUAUGACUAAAAGGAUUAAACAAUUGUCGAGGACAAUCUAAGGUUUACCAAAGAUUGGUUACUCAAGGACAAUUGGAAGUAUAGUGAUAAUUCUGGAAGGACCAUAUUGACAUAAUCUGUAAGGAGGCAACUCUUGUUCAGAAGUGAUAGUCAAAAUGGAAUCUGGAAAUGUUUCAAAGUUAGAAUUUUCAAUCUGUGUAAGAUUAAGGAAACUUAAUGCAAGAAGGAUAUUUCCAAGGAGUUGAUCUCCUUUGGAAUACUCUGUAAUGAUUGUUGCCAAGUCUUUGUGACUUUGUGCAUAAUCAUUACAAGAGGAUCAAUGCAUAUAAGUUUAGAAUCUAACAGAUUUCAGUAAAUGGCAUGAAUUUGGAAUUCUUGCAUUUGCAGUAAGGAUUUGGGAGUGUGAAAAGAGAAUCAUUGAAGUUAUGUUCAAUUGAUCUAGUUCACAAAGUAAAGAUCAUAGACAAACAUAGUAUGCAUACUUGGUGUGUGGCAUGACUAGUGUUUAAGAAAACAUAGUGUACAUGCUUGGAGCAUGGGACAACUAUUGUUUUAAAUUCAAGAAUAAAGUUGAUAGCUGAAACAGUAUACAAUGAAUAAUGUGUAAUCAUAUGGUGAUAAAUAAAAGGUGUUUUAUUUAUGUUCAAAGGGUUGAUACCAUAUUGGAUUCAAUUAUUAUUGUGUUUCAUUUUGCAUGUUUUGACUUCCCGAAUAAACUGGGUUAUUCUUCCGGAAUGACUAAGUUAUUCAAACCAUCCACAGUCGGUCAUAUGUUGGAAGUAGAUAUGAAUUAAGACUGUCAUGGGUUGGCUUGUAGAGGUCUAAGGUGUUGGACAAAGGGCUACAACACUCAUGAGUGCUCAUAAGUUCUGAGUAUUGGAUUCAACCCGCGCUCAUUGGAAUCACUUCAUGGAUUUUAUCACGAGUGAUCAUGAGACGAUAAUAUCUUAUAUUCUUCAAACCUAGAGAUAUGAGUUGUUACUAUGAGUUGAUAGUACAUUGAUUGCACGAAAACGCAUUUGGUAACUCGGUGCUAUAAAACGUGCCUUUGUGUAUGAUUCAACAAGUAGUAGAACAAGCCAUAUGAGUCGAAGUUUAUCCAUUCCUUUUACCUUCGGGAUAAAAGCGAUAUCUGUGGGCCCCUCGAUGAUUUGAUGAUGACAAAUGGAAGUGCUCGGCCGGGCCAGGACUGAUUUGAUUUGUUCAAUUAGUCAGUCGUCAUAAAUCGGAAAUCGGGAAACAACAAAUGGACAGAGAGAAUGAUUAUAAUCCAUGUCUCAGUCCAUAUGAUAUCUAGAAUGGAGGAAUAUAUGAUCCCUUAUCUAAUGGACAAGUCAUUGACAAAGGUCAGAGUUCAUCUACAAGGUCAGAGUUCGACAGAAGCUUUUGAGAGCUACGAUUGCCAGUUGGUUCCUGAAGUCAUACGCAAUAAUAGUUUUAGACUUAUCCAAGUGGGAGACUGUUGGAUUAAUGUCUAAGUCCAUAACUAUAAUUGGUAAGACUUGACCCGACCCGGCAUGGUCCAUUUGGGUUGCAUACCAUCAUGCACUUGGAUAGACUAUAAUGAGAGAAAUAAGACACUUAUGGUUAUUAAUAUAUUAUAAGUUCUAGUAUAUUAAUAAUAAGAAUAAUAAGAUUAUUUAAUUAGUAUUGAUCAAGAAUUAAUCUAGGAUUAAUUAAGUGAUCAAAAGAAGACUAAUUAAAUAUAUGGGUUGAUUGUGUAAAUCAUCCAUACUUGUAUAGUGGGCUAAUGCUCCAUGGAUAAUCAAGUUGGGCUAAAACCCAUAGGAUGGUCCAUGGAUGCUCCAUGGUGUAUUUGUACCCAUGGAUCCAAGGAAAUGGAAAGCCAUGACAAUUAAGAGUUUACCCUAAUUGUGUAACUAUAUAAGCAUCUUAUUAUUGAGGAAAAAUCGGCCACUAGUGAUAGUGAAGAAAGGGCUAGCCGAUUUUGAAGAGUGUAGAAUUCUCUCAAGUCAUUCCAAGUGUUUUGAUGAUUGUGAUUCCAUUUGAGGUGUCACACUUGGGGCACUAGGCACUCAAGCUUCAUGAAGACUUUCUACAUCAAAGAGGUAUGUAUUCUAUCUUGUUAUAGUCAUUGUUUUGUAUGCUAGAUUAGGAUAAUACCUUGGAAGUUCUUAUUUGCAUGUAUAAUAGAGAAAACAUAGAUCCAAGGUAUUUAGGGUUGCAUGUACACUUAGGAGUGUUAGAAUGCUCAAAACCCAACAGUGGUAUCAGAGCCUAGGCUUGUUUUCUUGUUAUACCUGCAAUAGAAGCUGAAAAAACGAAUCUGGUGCUGUCUGGCCAUCAGACUCGGCGAGUCCAUCAGGAGACUCGACGAGUCCAUGCCUAAAAAGUGAUGAAUUCGAUCCAACUCGCCGAGUUUGUUCAUGCACUCGACGAGUUGGACCCCCAGACAGCAUAUUUUCGAGUUUUUUGGCUAGAAAUGGACUAGGAACAUUACCCUAAGUUGUUUUUGAACUUAUAAACUUGUUUUUGAUGUGGUAAUGUUCAUGCUAAUCCAUUUUCAAAGAUAAUUGUCAAUAGAUUCAUGUUUUGUAUUAGUUUAAGGUUUAGACUAAUUACAUGAAAAAGUUUGAUUUGAAUUAUCUUGUUCUUAUGAGUUGCUUAGAUUAAUAGAAAUGUUGAGUGAAAUAGUUGUUUUCAAUCCAUUUUAAUCUAAGAGUUGAGUAUAAAAUGUGUUUGUGUAACUUGUCCUCAAGUUACAUGAAGAGUCACAUUAAAGACUCAUAAAACUCAUAAAAGUUGGCAAUGGUUACAAAAUGAAGAGUCUUGUGUCAUUGAAUAAUUUUUUUUGACUCCAUAACUUGUCCUCAAGUUAUGGAAGUUCAAGAGUCACUUCAUUAAAGAAAAAUAUGUAACCAUAAUUAAAUCCAUAAGUUAUAAAAUAAAGAAAAAGUUAGUUCUUUUAUUAGUUUAAAGUCUUCCAUAACUUGUCCUCAAGUUAUGGAACUUGAAGAGUUUUUGGAUUAAAACUACUUUAAACACAUAAGUUAUGGAAUUAAUUAGUUUUGAAUAGUUUCAAAACUUGCCCUCAAGUUUUGGAAUUUGAAAAGUUUUCAAGUAUGAAUACUUUAAUUCCAAGUUAGCCCUUAGAAUUUUAAAAGUUAAAAUUCAACCCUUAUACUUUAUAAUAUUAUAAGUUAAUAAUAUAUAUAUGUAUAAGAGUAAAGUCAGUCUUACCGCUAGUACGCCUCAUUCACGAAGCCGGUCUAUAAGGUGGGUAUAAGGUUGUUGCCUAUAAAAUGGCAACUUAAUGGGUGUCCACUCUCACCCACCGCUUGCUUGACUGGUGGAGGGUCGUUAGCCGAACGGGUUUGACAGGACUAGAAUUCUCCCUUCAUUAAAAGUAUUAAUGAUAAUACUAAGUAACUAAACUCUUAAUAAUACCCAAUCUUAGUUACUUAGGAAAAAUGUGAAUAAGGUGCUAAUCCAUGAAAUUACACUUUACACUUUGUCUAAGUCGUUAGUGGAGCGUGUGUGGUUAACCGGCACACUAACUUGGACUUAACAAGGUAGGUAAAGGGUGACUUAAUAUUUAUCAUAGUAUCGAUGGAGCGUGUGUGGUUAACCGGCACAUCGAUUGAGGGGUAAUUUAUUAAGGGUACCAAGUGAUUUGCAUGGUUACUUCACACCUUGUUUUGUGAUCCUCGGCAUCCCAGUCACAAAACCUGAAGGGCACACUCGAGAUUGAAACAUGCCUUUGAAAAGUUCAAUGAAUCUCAAAGAUCUAGGAGUUUCAAAACCAAUUAAAACCUAAUAAUACAUUUCGUUUAUCUUGGUGGAAAUUGGUGAAUCGUCAUUCACCUACCUUCAAAUAUUUUAUAGCUUGGAUUACGGCAUACCUCUUCUAAGUUAUAAAAUAGUUUGUUGGGUCCUAGCCUUAAUAUUUCAUAUUGGGUGUCAUAUUAAGGACUUUAAAUCAACUAUCUUGAAUAUCUCCCAAAAGAUGUCUGGUUUAGACACCUAUGAUCUUCCCAAAUCUCUUGAAACAAGGUUUCCUAAUGAAGAUGAUGUCCCAUGGAUAUCAUACUUCUUCACCUCUUCAAAUUAUUCUCCCUAACCCACAAGUUCUUGAAAAGUUUAAGGUCACUCAGGCCCUAUUAGCAAGGCAAGGUCUAGGUGUGGUCACAUCUUGGAGAUGUAGUCACAUAUUGACAAGCCGGGAGAGUUGGGUGUCAAAGUCUUGAGAAAGUUGGUGGUUCAACCACUUUCUAAGUCACAUAGUGAGUUCCUUUGGGACACCUAUGAAACAGACUAUGACAAGACCCUUAAUGAUCUUAUCUAUUUGCUAAGAUCAACUUCCUAAAACUUUAUGGACAUUGACAAUGAUGACAUUGGAUAUCCAGUAAAGCAUUCUCUUCCCAAUGGAAAGGGAUCGGCCAUAGUCAACUCGGUUGACCAAAUGGUAAAGAGAAAAGCUAAGUCUGUGAUAGUCCCGUGUACCAUUAUCAAAGGGUCCAUAUGUUUAUAUUGCCAAAGGAAGGGGCAUUGGUUGCGAAGCUGCCAAAUUUACCUAAGGAUGUUAAAGUCAAUAAGUUUGACUCUACUUCAGGUAAAGUCCACUAUCUAACUCUGUUAAGUUUCUAUUCUGAGAUUCUUGAUACAUGAUGUGACUGGGUCACAUGGUGAUGUUUUAAGAAUCAAAGAAAAGUGAAGAAACUUAAAGAAAGAAUAUGCUGAAUCUGAUGGCGUAGAUGGAUUUCUAUCGCAUAGUUUGAAGAUCGGAUUCUUGAGCUACUUCUUAGGAGUUAUGAGAUAUUGCUUAGGAAUAGAUAACAACAAGUUUUCAUAUGGAUUGUAAGGAUAAGUUUUUCCGCAAAGUUUUAAAAUAAAAGAAAAUUUUUUUGAUUUUAUUUAUUUUAAAAUAUCCUUACAAUGGCUUUUGAGGAAAAAUUGUUGCUUAUAUGAUUCCAUUAAGAGCAAGAGUGGAAAUAUGAAAUUGAUUCUUUCAUUUGUGGUAAUGUCUAGAUUUACCAAAUAAGGAAAGAUUCUCAUCACCCAAGUUUCAAUUGGACCGGAACUUGGAAUCAUGCAAGUUGUAUAGCAUGAUGAAUGAGAACUUUCAAGUAUUGGAAAAUUAAGACUAAUUACUUGUUCACAUGGAUGUGUGAGUCAAGUGAAGGACUAAGGGACCGAGCACACAUUCUUGUGCACUGGUCAAGUCCACCACAAAAGAUUGAUUAAACUAUUCGUCAUAGUUUACAAAAGAUCAGUAAAUAUGAUUAUACUUACAAGCUUAAGUGUAACUCUAAUACAUUGGAAAAUGGUUUCAAUGUAUGACAGAGCGAAUAAGAAGAAUCAAAUUAGGCAGAAGGAUAAAAGUUUCUCAAAUCUGAAAAGAUGGGAGAGUACUUUAGUAUCAGUUUUGUGAUCAUCUUAAUGAUUAAGAAACCAUAUCAAAAUUAGUUCUCUAAGGAAAUCUUAGUGCAUUCUUAUGACUAAGAAGAAGAACUUGAAUUGUUGAAAUGGUUAAAUCAAGAAGAUGAGUCAUACUUCGUGCCAAUACAAGUCUUAGAGUCAUACUCCAAGACUGUAAUUUGAGUGACAUGUCUUAAAGAAGGUUUAAAACACUUGUCAAAUGUAAGAGUAAAAGUUUUGUACUCUUGUACAUUUGAAAUUGGUAAGUUGUGAUGUUUUGGAUAAAACAAAGACCAACUUAGGCCAAUUGUGUGAAGUGUUUGUCUUGAUUAGAAUCCACACUAUCUCUUGGAUAUUUGACAAGGGAGUCUUAUAGGUCAAGAGGACAGUGGGAGUCUUAAAGGUCUUGAAAGUCUCAAGAACUAAUCAAGAUUCUUUAGGACUUGCGUGAUAAUGAUCACACAAUAUAGUAGCAAAAAUAAUGUUAGGGUCACUAGUAGUAAGAUAGAGCAGAGAGCCUAUCAUUCCUCGGUGUAGAGUUGCAUUCACAUUAGUUUAAUUAGGAUCAACUCCAAUACAUGUUGAUCGGAAC